GGCAGAGGGAGAGGCAGGCUCCAUGCAGGGAGCCCGAUGUGGGACUCCAUCCUGGGACUCCAGGAUCACACCCUGGGCCAAAGGCAGGUAUCAAACCGCUGAGCCACCCAGGGAUCACCUUCUUUUUUUUUUUUUUAAGAUUUAUUUAUUUAUUCAGGAGAGACACAGAGAGAGAGGCAGAGACAUAGGCAGAGGGAGAAGCAGGAUCCUCGCAGGGAGCCCAAUGGGGCACUUGAUCCUGGAUCCUGGGAUCAAGCCCUGAGCCUAAGGCAGACGCUCAACCACUGAGCCACUCAGGAGUCCCCGGAAAUUGUACUUCUUAAUCCCCUUCAACUAUUUCACCUGUCCCCCUCCCCACUCUGGUAACCAAGAGUCUUGUUUCCUGUAUCUAUGAAUCUGUUUCUGCUUUGUUUUUUUAGAUUCCACAUAUAAGUGAAAUCAUAUGGUAUUUGUCUUUCUCUGUCUGAUUUAUUUCAUUUAGCAUAAUACUCUCUAGGUACAUCCAUGUUGUUGCAAAUGGCAAUACUUCAUUCUUUUUUAUGGCUGAAUAAUAUUGUAUGUUAUGUGUAUUAUCAUAUCUUCUUUAUUCGUUCACCCCUUGAUGGACACUUUAGUUAUCUGUAUGUCUUCUUCAGAAAAAUGUCUAUUCAAGUUCUCUGCCCAUACAUUUUUAUUUUAAUUAUAAGUCAAGAUAUUGCUCUACCAUGGCCUAGCUGAUGGAUUUCCUCCUUGCACAUGCUGUGUGUAUACUAUAAUCAGGAGGUGAAUAGCUUUGCCAUUAAUAAGAACUAGAAUAAUUAUUAGUUGUGCUGUCACAGAAGUGGUAGUUCAGUAAUACUGGAUCAAUUAAGACACCAUUCCACAACCAUCAGUCAAGGCUUGACAGCACUGGUGCUUUACUGGAGCCCCUGAAAUGAAAUGUUACCAAUAUCAAUGCCCUUACCAUUACAUAUCUAAAAUAAGGAAGGAAACUUUGUGAAACUUUGUGAAAUUUGUGUAAUUAUACAUACAGUAUUUAUCCUUCACUUUCUGUUGAUGAUGCCAGAUUACCAUUUUGACUGCAUGUUUCACGUUCCAAGUAAUGGAGACAUUAAGAAGAACUUGUAGAAAGAAUGCACAUGUAUACAAUUUUAUAUUUUGGCAAAAUUAUACAACACAUGCAAUGCAACAUAAAAAUAUGAGGCCAUUUGUCACCACGAUUUCUACAAAUUUACCAUGUAUAGUUCAAGCAAAAUUGUAUAUAAACAUGUCUGAUCCAAUUUAACAAGCAUUUACGAAGUGACUGCUAGAUACAGAACACAAAGAGACAUUCAGGGUGUGAUCACCUUCCCAUCCUCAAGGAACUUACAAGGAUAUUUUAGUCUCCACUACAAAGAAAAUCUUAGAAAGUCAGUAUGUUGUUCCUUUUUUCCUUAAUAGAAUUCCCAAAAAAAGGUUUCGCUGAAAGUGAAUUAUAUUUUUGUUAUAGUUUUGUGUUUGGGAGGAAGACCACCGAAUUGAUCUGAUUUGAAAGAAAAUGGCCAGAGUCUACUGGAAACUACUGAAACAUAUGUUUCUACAACACGAAUAUUAAAAGGAUACUGCUUGCCCAUCCUGGUUAUGAGAACACUAGAUUCCACUAAGGUAAAACCAAAAAGAAAACCAAAAAAGUGAUAGAGGUAGCACUUGUUAUAGUGAUACAGCCCUAGGUUAGGAAGGACUAAUAAUAAUAACUACCAUUUAUUGAGUGCCAACCAAGUCCCUUGCAUGUUACAAACAUUAUCUUAAUUGAUUCCAUUCAUAUGUGGAAUAUAAGAAAUAGAACAAAUGAACAAAGAAAAAAGAAGACAAAUAAAAAACUAGACUCUUAAAAACUGAGAACAAAUUGAUGGUUGCCAGAGGGGAGGUGGGGGGGGAUGGGUGAAAUAGGUUUAAGGAACUGAGAGUUGAGAGUACCUGCAUCAUGAUGAGCACCGAGUAAUACCCAGAAUUGUUAAAUCAUUAUAUUGUAUGCCUGAAACUAAUAUAACACUAUAUGUUAAUUAUACAAUAAAUGGUCCCAGAAAAAAAAUUUAUCCUAUUAACCCUGCAAAGUAAGCAUUUUUACCUGUUUUUCAAACGAAGGAACUUAGGCCCAAGUGGCUUUGGAAAUUUGCCUGAGGUCAAACAGAUAUGAGUGGCAGAACCAGAAUUCUAAUCCAGGAAAGUGUCACUCCAACCAGUAGAAAUUUCUACUCAUCAGCUUCCUCUAUCCAUCUAUAGAUGGAUACCUAUCAUUUGGCCAAAAAAAAUUUCUCUGACUUGAAUUUAAUGCUGUACAAUGUAGUUCAAGCACACUCUCAGUUUUUACUUUCUCUGUAGUUGUAUCCUUGUCAUUGACUUCUACUACUUUUCCGCCCCCUCAGGGGUGAAAGCUUGAAAGAGUGUGCAGCAAUUACCAACUGGUAGCACAGAAUCAGAAUGGUCUCAUUGUACUUUUUUACCUGUAUAAAUCCUACAAUCAGAAAAUUUCCUUGAUCAAAUGCAAAGUAACUGUACAAGAGCACAGAGACCAGUUCUCUAGCUGACUGCUACAUUCAGUUGUCUUGUCUCAAUACACACUGUCAUAUGGAACUCAAAACCAGAAGUCUGGUCAGGAAGCCGGAAGUGAACUAAAUCCAACAUAAUUUCUUAUUCUACUUUUGAAUGGUGGCAAAAUUAUCUUGGUAAAGAUGGGAUAGACUGACACUUGAUAAAGGCCAUGUUAAGAUGGCAAAGGAGAAGAGGCUAUUAAAAAUUUUAAGGAGUAGGAGAAACCAAAUAUUUUGUUACCAGCCAAAGAGCAAUGAGAAUGGGAUUCCAUGAGAAGGGACUUUAGAAUUCGAGAAGCAAACUUACCAAGAGAGAAGUUAUGUUACAGUUUAUAUUUAACAGUCAGAAACUAGUUUUCUUGUCUGUUAUGUGCUAAAUACGCCCUUUCUUAAAAAUAUAAAUGCCCAUUCUUCAUCUCCUUACUUUUAGGUCAACAGAAAUUCUUUAAGAAAUGCCCAUAAUACAAUGGUUUAAAAAUAUUAAGUUGUUUAAGCCAAGGAAUGCCUAGUAUUACCACCAAAAGGGGGAAGAGAGAGGUAUAGAACUGAUUCUCCCUCAGUGCCUCUAAAAGGAACCAACCCAGUUGACACAUUGAUUUUGGAUUUCUAGCCUCCAGAACUGAGACAAUAAAUAUCUGUUGCUUUAAGCCCACCCUAAUUAUGUUGCUUAGCAGAAUUUUAUCUCUUAAAAUGAAGCAUGAAUUAGAUUAAAUUAGGUAAUCUUGAUGUGUUAAUACAAAAGAAUCUCCCCCAAAGUAAAUAUACAAGUCAAUAUGGUCAAUUGUUCUACAUUUUAAACAUUAUUUCUUGGUUUGCACAAAUGAAUAAUAAUUGAAGUGGCGCCAUCCAAUACAAUUACUAGCCACAUGUGGCUAUCUAAAUUUAAUUAUGAUUAAAUAAAAUAAAACAUUAACUUCCUCAAUCCCACUGGCCACAUUUCAAGUGAUCAACAGCCAUAUACGGCUAGUAGCUACUACACUGGACAGCACAGAUAAAGGAUAUUUCUAACAAUGCAGAAAGAUGAACCAGAAAGUGCUGAUGUAGAAGGAUGAGAUAUAGAAUAGCCACUGCCACAACCACUGCUUCUAUGUAAGGAAAUUCCUG
rnacentral:lncRNA from 1 species